rnacentral:misc_RNA from 1 species
CAUUUUCUUGUUUCUUCAGGCUGGCACGCCUUCUCAUGACUUCUUGAUCUUUCUUUCCGCUCAAGCGAGAGGAACAGUAACAUAGACUCUUUUCUUGAAUGUUUACAAAUACCAGCUACCCACUUGCCAAUUUCAUAGUUCAUCAACAUAUGAUCAUCACUUUCCUCUCUCCGCUCUCAAGAUCCAUCCUGCUAUAACCAUGGCGAUUAUUGCUCUCUACUACUAUUUAACAAUCUAUUUGGCUGGGAUUUUCUGCGUGGAAUCUCAGUACAUAGAUUACAACACCACUGGGAGAAUAGUCCCUGGCAAAGUCAACGUUCAUUUGGUGCCUCACUCUCAUGAUGAUGUUGGAUGGUUGAAGACUGUUGAUCAGUACUAUUUUGGUGGCAACAAUUCGAUUCGGGGAGCCUGUGUGCAGAAUGUAUUGGACUCAGUAAUGUCUGCUUUGUUCGAAGAUAAGAAUCGCAAGUUCAUCUAUGUUGAGAUGGCAUUCUUCCAGAGAUGGUGGAGACAGCAAAGUGAAGCAAUGAAGGCUAAAGUCAAGGAGCUUGUCAACUCUGGUCAAUUAGAAUUCAUAAAUGGGGGCAUGUGUAUGCACGAUGAGGCAACCCCACAUUACAUUGAUUUGAUUGAUCAGACAACUCUAGGCCAUCAAUUUAUCAAAGAUGAAUUUGGUCAGCUUCCUAGAGUUGGUUGGCAGAUUGACCCUUUUGGACAUUCUUCUGUUCAAGCUUAUUUGCUUGGUGCUGAGUUAGGAUUUGAUUCUCUCUUUUUCGCUCGAAUUGAUUACCAAGAUAGAGCAAAGCGAUUAAAGGAGAAGAGCCUUGAGGUUAUCUGGCAGGGUUCUAAGUCCCUGGGUUCAACUUCACAGAUAUUUACUGGUAUAUUUCCUAGGCAUUAUGACCCCCCAGAUGGUUUCACAUUUGAAAUAAAUGAUGUCUCCCCUCCUAUUCAGGAUGAUAUUCUCCUAUUUGACUACAAUGUUCAAGAAAGAGUCAAUGACUUUGUAGCUGCUGCUUUAGCUCAGAAGAUGAGAUACAAUGCAGAUAAUAGGCUAAUAAUUGUCAUUGAAGAUCCAUUUGAUACAUUAAAACUCAAGCCUUGCUGUUGAUGUUGGAUGUUAAAAAUAAUUCCAUGGAUAUAUGCUAUAAAUUUGUUAAAAAGGGCUAAUGUAACCAGGACAAAUCAUGUAAUGUGGCUGAUGGGGACAGAUUUUCGCUAUCAGUAUGCAAAUUCAUGGUUCAGGCAGAUGGACAAGUUCAUUCAUUAUGUUAAUAAGGAUGGUCGUGUAAAUGCUUUAUAUUCAACACCUUCCAUCUAUACUGAUGCAAAAUAUGCAGCAGAUGAACAAUGGCCUCUCAAAACUGAAGAUUUCUUCCCCUAUGCAGAUCAUCCAAAUGCAUAUUGGACAGGUUAUUUUACAAGUCGACCAGCCUUUAAAGGUUAUGUCAGAAUGUUGAGUGGUUAUUAUCUUGCUGCUAGGCAACUUGAAUUCUUUAAAGGCAGGAGUACUGCAGGACCAAACACCAACAAACUUGCUGAUGCUUUGGCAAUUGCUCAACAUCAUGAUGCAGUUGCUGGUACAGAAAAGCAACAUGUGGCUAAUGAUUAUGCUAAACGAUUGUCAAUAGGCUAUUCAGAGGCUGAAAAAUUAGUUGCAUCUUCACUUGCUUGCUUGGCUGAGUCAACAUCACAUAAUGGAUGUCAGAGUCCAGCUAAAAAAUUUCAACAGUGCCCUCUGCUGAAUAUAAGCUACUGUCCUGCAUCAGAAAUUAAUCAGUCUCAUGGGAAAAACUUGGUGGUUGUGGUUUACAAUUCUCUGGGAUGGAAGAGAGAUGAUGUAAUUCAAAUUCCAGUUAUCAAUGAUGAAGUUAUAGUGCAUGAUUCUGAGGGAAGAGAAGUUGAAUCACAACUUAUUCCUCUAGCAGAUGUUUAUGUGG